UACUCUGAGAGAGAGUAACAGUACGUGAAGCCGCAUGCAGGUAAACGGGUGGCGUCAAGCUGCGAGCCCGGAGGAUUCAGCUGGCUGGGAUGUAGUGUACGCGCCUGGUGCGUCAAAUGGCCAGAGUAAGAUGUGGUAGUUCCCUCCUCUGCCGGGAGGGAGGCGUGAUUGGGGCAACUCAAUUGUCGCCAUGCGGGCUGGUGUGUUGCCAGUGCAUGCUACUCGUCUGUUGGGCCGCCUGGUCAGUGCACUUUCUCCGUGGUGAACACCACGACCGGUGGUAUUGCCAGUCUACUAUGGUCUAGUUGUGCCCCUCCUCUCUUGUCUCCCCAUCACCGUCUCCCCGUCUCGUGCGGCGGCGGCGGCGGCGGGUAGAUGGGACUGUGAGUGGGUAUGAUCGCAGACAGAUUGAAUGAACGGCGUAGUGGUGCCUCGGUACUGUUGCGUGUUAUCGUGCAUUCGCUGUUGUAAACGAGGCCGGCUUGGGUGUAUUGUAACUGCACUUGUCGGUUUCUCGGCGGACCAUAGUGGUGAAAACRACUGUGCAAGGCACCGGGGUUAACCACCUCAUUGUAAAAUGAUAUCCGGUACGCACGUUACAGGUGCAGUUGUUGUCUAUCUGGAGCGCGUGGCUGCCUGGAGGUGUUGGACCUGACUACCGUGUUGCCUGCAAAAAGUAGGUCCGGUAGUGGUUGCAGAUGCCUUACA
rnacentral:rRNA from 1 species